UCUAGCUCCGCAGGUUUGCAGCAUGCAAAAGCAGAUGGGGGCCAAGCACUGAACCAUGGCAGAUGACUGAGCCUGUUCUGAGAGGGACUGAGCAUGCCCUAGGAAAGCUCUGUCCCCACCUGAAAUUGAGGUGAAUCACUCAGAAGCCUGGGACAUGAGGCAACAGGAAAUCAACUGACCCAUUGGGUGGUACAAUGAACAUAGGGAGCCUCAAAGCCCGCCCCCACAGUGACGUACUUCCUCCAACAAGGACCUAUCUAUUCCAAUUGUCGUAGGUUGCCAAACCUACAGAGUAGAAGGAAUGCAUGCCUGUCACUAAAGGGGCUGAAGCAAGAAAAUGGAAAGUUUGAGGCCAGCCUGGGCUACACAGUGAGAACAAAUGUUGAAGAAAGAAGAAAACAGAGUUCUUUGGAAGUCAGUCUACUACUAAAAACUGAAAACGUUAAAUCUGGAGGAAAGAAGUAAGCUAAUAAUGAAAGGAAGAAGGUGUUUUGUCUCAGCAGUAGGCGGCUAAGACAGGUCCUAAGAUGUUUUCACAGAAUGAAGAAUGGUGCUCGGUCUAGAAGGGUGGCUGUCUGCACAAGCAGCCUUGUUUUAUAUUCAUUCGUUCCCCGGGUAUGGGAAGC